rnacentral:tRNA from 1 species
GUCGCAGGUCAGAGAACCGCCCGUAGCGCCCUUACAAGGCGGAUGUCGGCGGUUCGAGCCCGUCCGGGUCCA